rnacentral:lncRNA from 1 species
UUUGACUUUAAACUCUUUUGAUCUUGGUAUAAAACGGUUAGGAAAUAGCCCAGUGGUUGUUCCUUUUGUCCCAUAAGCUUGAGGGGGGAUUAGGUGGACCUGCAAUUCUUAGCGUAAGACCCUAGGUAGAUUAACCGCACUUGAACCUAAAUUGCAUGAUAAGGGCUUGGAACCGGGUUUGGGUUUAAGAGGACACGUAUACUUGCAAUCGCGGCUAACACAAGUUUCGAGUUUUAAUAAGUAAUUUAAGCUUUUGUCCCAAAUGAUUAUUCCGACUAUGAUUCCGUUUUGCAUAAUUCUUUUUUGAGGACGAAAAAAGGUUAAGUGUGGGGAUAUUUGAUGUGGGGUAAAAUACACAUAUUUGUCCCGUAUCCUGGUGUAAAUGGAGCAAAAACGAGUAAUAUGGAAAUGACCAGCCAAUUGGGCAGAGUAGGAUGCCAGUGACUAAAUUGAAAUUGCCGCUAUUUUCUAUGAUUGGGCCGAGCUUGUUUAUCUCUAUACUAUUAAAGUUGAAGGGCCAAAUUACAAUUAAAGGAAAGUUGCUUUAAAAAUAAGUCAUAAAAAAUGAGGGACCAUAAGUGUACAUGAGCUGGAAGUUCUAAUUAAUUCUCCUCCACAAAACACAAUAAAUGUACAUUUUUUGGCUUCCUGUUGUUGACCGAUUUUAGGAUGGCCAAUAUUGGAUUAUUAUAAAAGAAAGAGGAAAUUUGUGUGGAUGGAUUUAAUUUAGAAAAAUGGCAAUAUUGGAUGUGAAAUAAGCUGUUGGAGGUUUUGAAUAUUGGGCCGCCCAAUAAUCAGUGAUUCUUGUGAUCGUAAAUGGGCCAUUUAUCAAGAUGUUUUGCGAUUACCCAACAUCAGACGGCAACUGGGGGAAGGUUUGAUCAGAGGGACGAAUUUUAAAGACAAGGAGAAGAUUGGCGAGGGUUCAAGCCGCGGUCAAGAUUUAAGUCUGGGUUUGCAAUUUAUUAGUAUUCAGUUUUAAAGACUUUGUGUUUCUUUCAACUUGAUACUAUGAUUUGUUAUUUAUAUGAGACUUGUUUCUUGUUCUUGGCUAUGGUUCUUGGCUAGACUUUUCAAACUACCUAGGUUAAAAUGAAUAUUUAAUGAAGUUUGGAUUUUUAUUCGUU